GAGCCUGUGACCUCUUUCUUUCUUUUAUUUAACACAAAACUGACGUGUCCGCAUUCACGGCCCCACGGCCAGGCCGGACUCGGUGCAGACAGGUUCAAGACCCCUGCGCUGCCCACCCCGUGGGCCCGGCUGCGCUUGGAGGCCGGGCCUGGCCUGCCUGGCCCGUGAGGAUCUGCACCAGCAGGUCCACGAACCCAAAGGAAGCGUACAUGAGGACCAGCUGUUCCAGGCGCAGGGUCAGCUGUUGGGAGAUCUCUAACAGCUGCAUACAGGAUGGAUACAGUGAGAUCAGCUGGCCUGAGAGGAGUGGGCCUCCCCCUCCACCAUCCCCGCAGGCUCGGAGCUGCGAGAAGAAAGGGGCGUGGGGUCUAAGAAACCUCCACACACCCCCUUUCGGACCAGCUCCUGCAGGGGUCCAUAGAUGUGGGGUACGCUUCUCGCGGCUGCCUCCAGGUACAGGAAGUAGGGCUCACACAUCUGUAAGAAGGUGGGCAUGGCCUUGGCCAGCUGCUCCUUCUGUACUUGGUCUCUGCUGAAGGAAGAAGGGGGCCUUUGCCUGCAAUCCCUCACAAUCCCUCCCCACCCCCCCGUUUUCCCCCAUUCUACUCAACCCCAACCUGUAUCCCUGGCUUUGACCCCUGUUAGAAAAGCCCCCAGUUUCAGGUCUUUUCUGAACAUCUUUCUGGUUCACCUGCAUCAAACCCAUUUGGAACACUUGUUAAAAGUGCUGACACCUGAGUCUCACAUCGCCACUUAGGACCCAGAGCUUCCUUAAGGGGCUGGGCGCAGUGGCUCACUCCUGCAAUCCCAGAGGUUUGGGAGGCUGGGGCUGGAGGAUUGCUUGA